GCCCCAAGGUAAGGAAUAACGUCGAGAAAGUCGGCGCUAAUACCUCAUAAUGCAGCCGGACCCGCAUGGGUAUGUUGUUAAAGGUUUACCGCCUUGGGAUAGGCUUGCGUCUGAUUAGCUAGUUGGUGUGGUAACGGCACACCAAGGCUACGAUCAGUAACUGGUCUGAGAGGAUGAUCAGUCACACUGGAACUGAGACACGGUCCAGACUCCUACGGGAGGCAGCAGUGAGGAAUAUUGGGCAAUGCACGAAAGUGUGACCCAGCAACGCCGCGUGGAGGAUGAAGGUAUUCUAUAUCGUAAACUCCUGUGAGAGCAGACGAAAGACAGAUUAUUAAUUUGGAUGACUGUAUGCUCAGAGGAAGCCCCGGCUAACUACGUG
rnacentral:rRNA from 1 species